UACAGAGGUCUCAAGCGUUGUUCGGAUUCAUUGGGCGUAAAGGGUGCGUAGGCGGCGCGGUAAGUCAGUGGUGAAAGCCCGCAGCUUAACUGCGGAACUGCCAUUGAUACUGCAAGGCUUGAGUACAGAUGAUGUUGGCGGAAUAUGACAUGUAGCGGUGAAAUGCAUAGAUAUGUCAUAGAACACCGAUUGCGAAGGCAGCUGACAAAACUGUAACUGACGCUGAGGCACGAAAGUGUGGGGAUCAAACAGG
rnacentral:rRNA from 1 species